GUUGUUGGCAUGACACGGGUUAUGUUCUUCUCAUAUAUUUUAUGAUAGUAUGAUACUAAACCCUUAACGGGAGGAAUUGUGCCUGAUAUUCAUAUAAUGAAGACAUGAUCUUUCAAUCAGUUUAAUUGAGGUCUGGAGCUGGCAUGUCAGUUAACUGUAAGAAGUCUGUUGUUAUUUAUGUAUUAUUGUCAUUUAAUUUAUUUUCUUUUGUUACAUGUUCUGACAUCGGAUUCAGACUUCUCUUGAACUGAAUUUUAAUGUGCGUAUUGUUAUGCGUUUACUUUUCUACAUUGGCUAGAGGUAUAGGGGGAGGGUUGAGAUCUCAUAAACAUGUUUAACCCGCCGCAAUUUUGCGCCUGUCCCAAGUCAGGAGCCUCUGGCCUUUGUUAGUCUUGUAUGAUUUUUAAUUUUAGUUUCUUG
rnacentral:lncRNA from 1 species